UACAGAGGUCUCAAGCGUUGUUCGGAUUCAUUGGGUUUAAAGGGUGCGUAGGUGGGUCUGUAAGUCAGUGGUGAAAUCUCCGAGCUUAACUCGGAAACUGCCAUUGAUACUAUAGAUCUUGAAUUAUCUGGAGGUGAGCGGAAUAUGUCAUGUAGCGGUGAAAUGCUUAGAUAUGACAUAGAACACCAAUUGCGAAGGCAGCUCACUACGGAUAUAUUGACACUGAGGCACGAAAGCGUGGGGAUCAAACAGG
rnacentral:rRNA from 1 species